GCUCAAAUGAUGUUAACAAUGUCAUAGUGAUAGUUCCCACCACUCCCUCCAUUCUUAGCUGAUUCCAUUUGGCACAGGAAAUAACCCACUUGUCAUCCCUGUGGUACAAAGCUCAUCAUGAAUGUGUGGCCCCAUCUCAGACAAAAAGCAGGUCCUAGGGCCAUGACGGUGUGAAAGGGGAUGCUUUCUUUGCCUUCUGCAAAACUAGAAACCAGCAUAGGCUUCUCCCAUCUUCGUGAUCUGUAUGGGGCAGGGCUUUGUAAGCAGACGUCUUCCCAGGAAUUAACACAGCAUUUCUGUUCCCUUUCUCCACUCCAGCUGACUCUAAAGAGGAUGCAGUUAACUGGCUCUCUGGCUUGAAAAUCUUACACCAGGAAGCGAUGAAUGCGUCCACGCCCACCAUUAUCGAGAGUUGGCUGAGAAAGCAGAUAUAUUCUGUGGAUCAAACCAGAAGAAACAGGUAAGAGUCAUUCAGUUUUUUUCUGAUCACUUUGGAUUUCGAUCCUCAUUCUAUCUUUAAACCUUCCAAGGGGGUGGGAGCAUGACUUGUCGGGAGCAAGGUCCUC
rnacentral:lncRNA from 1 species